AUGCGACAAGAUUUGUGCUGUGCUGUUGGGCGGCCCGUUAUCUGUUUUGCGUGUGGCCAUGGUCUGAGCUUGUGUUUUUUGUUGCUGUGUCUAAUUCUUUUCGCAGUGUCCGCUGUUUUUAUUUUUUGUUUGUACGAGGAACAAAAGUACUCCCUUCGUCCGAUAAAAGUUGUCCCCGAGGUCUUUUUUCAGGAAUACCCCCAGCGAAUUCUCAACAAGCCCCUUGCUCCUUGUCGUCUCCCCACUCCUUUCCCGCGUCGGAGGUCCACUCCCUUGCGCCGGAGCUCCCCUGCUCGGCUCCCCUGUGCGUCGCUGGAGCUCAUCCGCCGCACCCUCCUCCCCACGCCUUUCCCUAAGGUGAUCUACGGCGAGGAGAAGGCUUGA
rnacentral:rRNA from 1 species